rnacentral:rRNA from 1 species
GUGUCAGCCGCCGCGGUAACACGUAGGGGGCAAGCGUUGUCCGGAUUUAUUGGGCGUAAAGAGCUCGUAGGUGGUUCGAUAAGUCGGGUGUGAAACCUCCAGGCUCAACCUGGAGACGCCACCCGAUACUGUCGUGACUAGAGUCCAGUAGGGGAGCAUGGAAUUCCUGGUGUAGCGGUGAAAUGCGCAGAUAUCAGGAGGAACACCAGUGGCGAAGGCGGUGCUCUGGGCUGGAACUGACACUGAGGAGCGAAAGCGUGGGGAGCGAACAGGAUUAGAUACCCUGGUAGUCC